rnacentral:lncRNA from 1 species
CGAGGUGAACAGAGGAAACUGCAGCCAGCUGAGUCCACUUGCAUACGACUCAAACAUCUCCCAGCAACCUCAGUUUUUUGCAUGUGGUGAGUCGUACCCAUCUGCAGCUGGUGUUACACCCUUUCUUCUCAUUCAGACAACUCUUCUUUCCACAGAAAGGUGCAGCCUCUGAGUGACUCUCCACAGUAACUCACAAGCUGUACGUUUCCAUGGCCCACAGGUACACAAGCAAACUUUUGGUCUUUUUCAAGGGAUGAUGGUGACUUAUGGUGACAACCAAGAACAGGCUUCAGAAAGAAAGCAGCUGUGUAGCUAUGGCCAAAUUGAACUUCUUGAGUCGGUGUCCUCGCUUGUAAAAUGGACAAUUCUACUGAAGGAAAUUGAAGGUCUUACCGACUCCAUCCAAGGAAUUGACAAGAGAUCCCCAAGAAGGUUGCAUAGAGCGAGGUCGAGGAGUUUCGCAGACAUAACUCCUUGGGAGCAGUGCCCAGGUCAAGAAAGAAAAUGUGGCCAAUGCCCCAGGAUCUUAUUUGGUCAUCCAGGCUGGACUGCAGUGGUGUGAUCAUAGCUCACUGCAGCCUCAAACUGCUGGACUCCAGUGAUCUUCCAGCCUCAGCCUCCCCCGGUAGCAAGGACUACAGGGUCCCAGAAGGAACCAACGCUGCCCACACCUUAAUUUGAGACUUCUGGCCUCUGAGAAAUGAGAAAGAGUCUCACUCUCUGUCGCCCAGCCUGGAGUGCAGUGGCAUCAUCUGAGCUCACUACAACCUCCGCCUCCCGGGUUCAAGCGAUUCUCCUGCCUCAGCCUCCUGAGUAGCUGGGACUACAGGCACGCGCCACCACGCCCAGCUAAUUUUCGUAUUUUUAAUAGACAUGGGGUUUCACCAUGUUGGCCAGGCUGCUCUUGAACUGCUAACCUCAAGUGAUCCACCAGCGUUGGCCUCUCAAAGUACUAGGAUUACAGUGCUAGGAGCCACCAUGCCCGGCCGCCUCUCUUUUCUUUUACACAUGAAGAAAAAGUGGUCAGAGAAGUUAACUUGGUCAGUGCCAAAAGCACUGGAAGUGAGUAGGACCAAGCUUUUCAUCUAGAUUUGUUUGUUAGACUCUAAAUCCAAAUUCACAACAAGAUCAGAAUAUGAGAAACCUAAGGAACAAAAUUCUAGGAAUCAUUUCUAGAAACUGUGGCUAUUGAAAAAGCACAGACCUAGGGAAUCAAAUUAUUUUCCCUGCCACCAGCACAUGGGUAGGCCUGUGACAAAUUCCAUGCUCUGGACCCCAGAUUCCUCAGUGAGAAUAGAAGGGGCUAGAGACAUCAGGGAAUUGGAUUUGGUGACUUUAAUACCCACUCAGCUCCAAAGCAUUCUUGAAUGAUGCACGAUUUAUGAAUAUAUAUAUUGAAAUUUACUGAUGGGUGAACAGCUCUCAACAUGAGAUUUUUGUUGUAUGCCUUAAAAAAGAUUAUACAUAAAUAUGCGUGUGUGUGUGUAUGUAUGUUUCGAUGUAUAUGAACCCAUGAUCUGAAAAAUGGCCACUGUGGCUUGUGGAAACCUAUUAAUCUCUGCUGUUCCACCCAACAUCCUCAGAGAAAAAAAUAAACAACUUUUUGAAAGUGCUGCCAUGGGGUCAGACCAAAUACUGUGGCCACUUCCAAGGGGUUUGCCUUGAUUUGCCUGGAUUCCUGUUCAUGUGACAUCUGCCUUCUAAUUCAAGGAUAUGAUCAAUUCAAUGUGUGAGUUAUCAAUCAAGGACUGGCAACAGUGAUGCUGAACAAGCCUGGUGGAAGGAAAGAGAAGGCAGGCCAGAGCCCAGACAGACGCAUUCACAAACCUUACAAAGAGGACAGGCUAAUUAGGGGCUGUAGUUCUCCCUCUCUUUAUAGUUGGUAUAAGAGGAGUGGUAAUCGUAGUGUCCAAAAAUAUAUGGGCUACAUAGUUGCUUAGUAAGCUGUGGGUAUGUGGUUUCUUCUGCAAGGUGCUUUCUUUCUGAUAAAGAGAUUACGUUGUUUGUUUGUUCAUUUAUUGAACAUAUUUACACUUACACACACACACACACACACACACAAUGUUCCAGAUACCGUACUUGGCAAUGGUAGUUAGACCUUGCUCUUGCAAAAUUUAUAAUGAAGUUGGGAAGUGUGGUUUGAUCCCUCAAAGUGUCCAAAUCCUAAUCCCCAGAACUUGUAUUUUCUUACAUGACAAAAAAAAAUUUUCAGAUAUGAAGAACUUUGAGAUGAGGAGCUUAACCUGGAUUAUGCAGGUGGAUACAAUCAAUCACAAGGGUCUUUGACAAAAGAGGUGGGCAGAAAGGUCAGGAGGCUUUGGCUAUGGGGAAGGGGCUGCAAGCCAAAUAAUUCAGGUGGCCUCCAGAAGCUGGGAAAUGUAAGCAAACAGAUUCUCCCCUAGAGCCUCCAGAAGAAAUACAGUCCUAUGGGUCCAUUUCAGACUCUUCACUUCCACAACUGUAGGAAAAUAAACUUGUGUUAUUUUAAGCCA